UACGGGGGGAGCAAGCGUUGUUCGGAUUUACUGGGCGUAAAGGGCGCGUAGGCGGCGCAACAAGUCACUUGUGAAAUCUCCGGGCUUAACUCGGAACGGUCAAGUGAUACUGUUGUGCUAGAGUGCGGAAGGGGCAACUGGAAUUCUCGGUGUAGCGGUGAAAUGCGUAGAUAUCGAGAGGAACACCUGCGGCGAAGGCGGGUUGCUGGGCCGACACUGACCGCUGAUGCGCGAAAGCCAGGGGAGCGAACAGGAU
rnacentral:rRNA from 1 species